AAGAAACACAACAUGAAUAAUAAUGCCACCACGUAAGAAAGUUCAUGACUCCCAUUCACAACAAUGUAAUGUUAAAUCUAUGCUCAAAGAUGAUCUGAAAACUAUCCCCAAAAGCAACAUGACACAUUUUAAGUCAGCACCCACAAUACAACAUAUAUUUUCAGCUUAAAUCUCAAUAUCGGGUGUUUAAUUCCCUUUAAUCAUCAUUUGAAAACAAUUCUUAAUCAUCACUAUAUAGAAUCCCUAUCAAGUGUUCAAUUUCAUACCUUAAGACCCUUCGCAUAUACAGCAGAAAUAUAGAUUGCCUUA
rnacentral:misc_RNA from 1 species